rnacentral:rRNA from 1 species
AAGCAUCCCACCUGGGGAGUACGCCGGCAACGGUGAAACUCAAAGGAAUUGACGGGGGCCGCACAAGCGGANGAACAUGUGGUUUAAUUCGAUGAUACGCGAGGAACCUUACCCGGGCUUGAAUUGCAGAUGAAGGAUCCAGAGAUGGUGNCGNCCUUCGGGGCAUCUGUGAAGGUGCUGCAUGGUUGUCGUCAGCUCGUGCCGUGAGGUGUCGGCUCAAGUGCCAUAACGAGCGCAACCCCUCUCUUCAGUUGCCAUCAGGUAAAGCUGGGCACUCUGGAGACACUGCCACCGCAAGGUGUGAGGAAGGUGGGGAUGACGUCAAAUCAGCACGGNCCUUACGUCCGGGGCUACACACGUGUUACAAUGGGGGGUACAGCAAGCCGGCUGCCCGCAAGGUCAGUCCAAUCAAGAAAGCCCUCCUCAGUUCGGACUGGGGUCUGCAACCCGACCCCACGAAGCUGGAUUCGCUAGUAAUCGCGCAUCAGCCAUGGCGCGGUGAAUACGUUCCCGGGCCUUGUACACACCGCCCGUCAAGCCAUGAAAGCCGGGGGUGCCUGAAGUCCGUGACCGCAAGGAUCGGCCUAGGGCAAAACUGGUAAUUGGGGCUAAGUCGUAACAAGGUAG